rfam:Picrophilus torridus DSM 9790, complete genome.
GCUCCCGUGGUGUAGUCCGGCCAAGCAUUAGGGACUCUCAAUCCCCCGACUCGGGUUCAAAUCCCGACGGGAGCA